ACCAUGGUGGUAACGGGUAACGGGGUGUUAGGGCACGACACCGGAGAGGGAGCCUGAGAAACGGCUACCACAUCCAAGGAUGGCAGCAGGCGCGCAAAUUACCCAAUCCCGACACGGGGAGGUAGUGACAAUAAAUAACAAUACGGGGUUCUUUAGGAUCUCGUAAUUGGAAUGAGUACAAUUUAAAUCUCUUAACGAGGAACAAUUGGAGGGCAAGUCUGGUGCCAGCAGCCGCGGUAAUUCCAGCUCCAAUAGCGUAUAUUAAAGUUGUUGCAGUUAAAAAGCUCGUAGUUGAAUUUCGGGGUUAGUAGGUUGGUCAUGCCUCCGGUAUGUACUGAUCUCACUGAUUCCUCCUUCCUUAUGAACCGUAAUGCCAUUAAUUUGGUGUUGCGGGGAAUUUGGACUGUUACUUUGAAAAAAUUAGAGUGUUUAAAGCAAGCUAACGCUUGAAUACAUUAGCAUGGAAUAAUGAAAUAGGACGUUCGAUCUUAUUUUGUUGGUUUCUAGGAUUGACGUAAUGAUUAAUAGGGAUAGUUGGGGGCAUUAGUAUUCAAUUGUCAGAGGUGAAAUUCUUGGAUUUAUUGAAGACUAACUACUGCGAAAGCAUUUGCCAAGGAUGUUUUCAUUAAUCAAGAACGAAAGUUAGGGGAUCGAAGACGAUCAGAUACCGUCGUAGUCUUAACCAUAAACUAUGCCGACUAGGGAUCGGA
rnacentral:rRNA from 1 species